GUGGGGAAUCUUGCGCAAUGGGCGAAAGCCUGACGCAGCCAUGCCGCGUGAAUGAUGAAGGUCUUAGGAUUGUAAAAUUCUUUCACCGGGGACGAUAAUGACGGUACCCGGAGAAGAAGCCCCGGCUAACUUCGUGCCAGCAGCCGCGGUAAUACGAAGGGGGCUAGCGUUGCUCGGAAUUACUGGGCGUAAAGGGCGCGUAGGCGGACAGUUUAGUCAGAGGUGAAAGCCCAGGGCUCAACCUUGGAAUUGCCUUUGAUACUGGCUGUCUUGAGUACGGGAGAGGUGAGUGGAAUUCCGAGUGUAGAGGUGAAAUUCGUAGAUAUUCGGAGGAACACCAGUGGCGAAGGCGGCUCACUGGCUCGAUACUGACGCUGAGGUGCGAAAGCGUGGGGAGCAAACAGGAUUAGAUACCCCGGUAGUCC
rnacentral:rRNA from 1 species